rnacentral:rRNA from 1 species
GACGAACGCUGGCGGCGUGCCUAAUACAUGCAAGUCGAACGCAGUUGCGAACGGGUGAGUAACGCGUAGGUAACUGCCUCAUAGCGGGGGAUAACUAUUGGAAACGAUAGCUAAUACCGCAUACUGUGAGAUGGACCUGCGUUGUAUUAGCUAGUUGGUGAGGUAAAGGCUCACCAAGGCGACGAUACAUAGCCGACCUGAGAGGGUGGUCGACCACACUGGGACUUGUACACGGGCCAGACUCCUAAGGGAGGCAGCAGGAGGGAAUCAUUGGAAAUGGACGGAAGGCUGACCGAGCAACGGCGCGUGAGAGAAGAAGGUUUUCGGAGCGGAAAGCUAUGUUGUUAGAGAAGCGGUAACUAACGAGAAAGGGACGGCUAACUACGUGCCAGCAGCCGCGGUAAUUC